UACGAAGGGGGCUAGCGUUGCUCGGAAUUACUGGGCGUAAAGAGCUCGUAGGCGGUGUGUCACGUCGGCCGUGAAAACCUGCAGCUUAACUGUGGGCGUGCGGUCGAUACGGGCAUCACUGGAGUUCGGCAGGGGAGACUGGAAUUCCUGGUGUAGCGGUGAAAUGCGCAGAUAUCAGGAGGAACACCGGUGGCGAAGGCGGGUCUCUGGGCCGAUACUGACGCUGAGGAGCGAAAGCGUGGGGAGCAAACAGG
rnacentral:rRNA from 1 species